rnacentral:tRNA from 1 species
UAGCUCAAUGGUAGAGCGCAUGCCUAGCAUGCACGAAGUCCUGGGUUCAAUCCCCAA